AUCGCUUCUCGGCCUUUUGGCUAAGAUCAAGUGUAGAAGAUGCACUGAUGAAACUUAAUUUCGAACACUUUAACUCCU
ensembl:snRNA U2 U2 spliceosomal RNA